rnacentral:lncRNA from 1 species
GCCAGGUACCUAUAUAUCUACGUUGCUGCAAUGUGGUCAAUAAAAACAUGAAAAUCAUAAAUGCAUCUACUGUAAUGUAGUCAAUACAAAAAUGAUAAUCAUAAAUGUAUCUUAAACUAGAUGUGUGAAAGCAACACGAAAGGCUACGUCUCAAAAAUUUGAAAAUCUGCAAUUUCAAUAACACAUGUGGAUACAAACAUGAUGGUUG